UGGGUCUGGGUUGAGUGACGGCCUGUUUCUUUCUAACCCUAUUUGAGAAUGGCGUAGGCGCCGUGCUUUUGCUCCCCGCUCGCUGUUUUUCUCGCUGGCUUUCAGCGCGCGGAAAAGCCUCGGCCUACCGCCGUCCACCGUCCGAUCUAGAACAAACAAAAAAUGUCAGCGACUGGUCAAGUCACCCUUCCCAGGAACCUGUGGAAUUCGCCCGCCCGGCCCCCGCACCCCGCCUAGAGGCCGCGGUCGGCCCGGGACUUCUCCGGAGGUGCCCAAUGCCGCCGCGAAGAGUUGGGCUCUGUCAGCCGCGGGUUCCUUGGGGGCCAAGGGCGAGGCUGUGGCCACAGGGAGAGAAACGGAGCGGGUUCCCGCGCGCGGUGCACUUCCCUGAGCUGUGGGACUUGCAUCCGGGACUGGGCUCGGACAUAC
ensembl:misc_RNA Telomerase-vert Vertebrate telomerase RNA